rnacentral:rRNA from 1 species
CCUACGGGGGGCAGCAGUGAGGAAUAUUGGUCAAUGGACGCAAGCCUGAACCAGCCAUGCCGCGUGCAGGAUGACGGACCUAUGUGUUGUAAACUGCGUUUGUAUGGGGGUAAACCCCGAUACGUGUCCCGGGAUGAAAGUAUCGUACGAAUAAGGAUCGGCUAACUCCGUGCCAGCAGCCGCGGUAAUACGGAGGUGCCGAGCGUUAUCCGGAUUUAUUGGGUUUAAAGGGUGCGUAGGAGGUUGGAUAAGUCAGGGGUGAAAUGUGGGGGCUCAACCCCGGAACUGCCUUUAAUACUGUUGGACUGGAGAAUAGUUGCGGUAGGCGGAAUGUAUGGUGUAGCGGUGAAAUGCGUAGAGAUCA